GCUGGGCACUGUGGCUCAUGCCUGUAAUUCCAGUGGUGUGGGAGGCUGAGGCAGGAGGAUUGCAAGUUAGAGGCCAUCCUCAGCAACUUAGUGAGACCCUGUCUCUA
rnacentral:sRNA from 1 species